AUUAUCCUAUGAUAUUUCAGAUCUAAGAUCUAUUAGAUCUGAUUCUUAUUAUCUGAUAUUUAAUCUAAAAUUAAAUCUAAAACUUGAGGAUUAGAGAAAUACCUCUAGGAUAACUAGAUUACCCUGUAGAAGAUCGCAGCAAUGCCCAAGGUUCAAAAAUAGCCAUGCAGUCGUCUGGCCUCUACCGAUAUCCACUCGAGCAGGAUCUGGAUCAUCUUCUCCUUUUGAAUCUCUACUCCAAAAAUCAAAUCUGGAUCUGAUUUGAAAGAUCUUCAAAAGAUCUUUUGAAGCUGGAGCAGCAGCUUCUCGACAAAUCCCUGCAGCCUUCUAAUCAGGGAGCCACCAUGCCUUGGACAAGCACC
rnacentral:lncRNA from 1 species